rnacentral:rRNA from 1 species
UACGUGGGGGGCGAGCGUUGUUCGGAAUUACUGGGCGUAAAGGGUUUGUAGGUGGCCUGCUAAGUCAGACGUGAAAUCCCUCAGCUUAACUGGGGAACUGCGUCUGAUACUGGCGGGCUUGAGGACAGGAGAGGAACGCGGAAUUCCAGGUGUAGCGGUGAAAUGCGUAGAUAUCUGGAGGAACACCGGUGGCGAAGGCGGCGUUCUGGACUGUUUCUGACACUGAAAAACGAAAGCCAGGGGAGCAAACGGG